rnacentral:lncRNA from 1 species
CCAAACUGAAAUAAAACAGGCCCAAAUACAAUGGCCCGAAAAAAAUUAGAAACCCUAAGGUUUCUAGGUCAUCUGCGCCGCAACCACCAAGCUCGUUUGCGCCGUAGCCGAAUCUUCACCUGCAAACACAAGAAAGGAAAGAAAAUCAAAUCGAAUCAAGAUCAAAUCAAGCAAAUUUCUUGUUUCUAUUGUUGUUUUAGUUUCAUAUGGCUAUAAAAGGCCAUCGAAUAUACUGUAACGAGGGUCGGAUUUUAAAAUCAAUAAAAAAGCUUUUUUUUUUCAACACAAGGAGAGAAACAAACGAAUCGAAGGUGUUUGCAGUUUUUACUUAUUGUUGUAAUUAUUAUUAUUAUUAUUUUACCAGCAUAUGCAUGCAAAUAAAAUAAAUAGGGGAAGAGAAGACACAACCUGUGUUUCGGAGCCCUAGAUCGCCGUAGAUGGCCGAGGGUGUCAUCUCCGAUGAAAGACGACCGGAAGCCAAAAGGUUUCAGUGCUUUUAAGGGGACUUCCGUUGGAGUUUUGUGAGAUUUGAGCUCGGAUUUAGGCUCAGGGGGUCUAGAGGGUCAAAUCGGGAAAUUUUUCCCCUUUCCGGCCACCGCAAACUGUGGUGCCGGCGCCGGAGAUCGGCGGCCGACGCGGUGGCCAGUGACUGGCCGAUGACCGACCGAUGGUCGGAGGACUGAGGGGCUGAGAGAGUUUUUUUUAGAAGGAUUUGGUUUUUUUUAAACUGUUUUUGAAAUGAAAAUUUUGUUUUAAUUUUGGCUUAAAUAGCCAAUUGAAAACGGCGCCGUUUUGAGGGGAGGAUCCGCGUGUCGACCCGACCCGAACCCGGGAUCCGCGUGUUUUUCAUGCGGAGGGGCAAAUUGCGCUUUUGACCCUUCCGCCUUUUAAUGAAUUUUCAAUUAGGUUUUUUUGUGUUUUUAAAUUUUUUUCUUUAAUUUAUUUUCCAUUUCAAUUUAAUCCUACUGGAACGGCAUCGUUUUAGAGGAGAAGGGAAAAUUUCCCUUCCAGCCCCUCUAUAUAAUUCGCACGUUCAAUUUAGUCCUUUGAUUUUUACUAUUUGUGGAUUUUAACCAUUUUUUUAUACUGCAAUUCAAUUUAGUUUUUUAUCAUCAAUUAAUAAUAUUUUUUCCUUAUUUUUUUAAAAAAAACCUAUAUAUAUGUAUAUUUAUAUAUAUAUUUUUUGCAACUAAUAUUUUUCUCAUGUGUAUAUAUGUUUAUUCAUUAACUUCGAUAAUGUAAAUAUUAAUUUGUUCUUUUAAACCUAUAUAUUUCUAUGUGUAUAUUAUACAUUUUUUUUUAUUUCAAUUAUUUGUCCAUUGAUUUAGGUUUACAUAUUUUUAUUAUCUUGCCCAUUUAUUUGAUAUUUUGCAUGCCAUUAUUGUACUUAUUAGUUUAUAUAUUUGUAUUAUUUCUAUGCUAUCAUAAUAUUUAUUAUUGCAUUAUAUAUUUAAAGUGGCAUAACAUUACAUUUUUUACUCAAUUUUUUUUUAAAAUCAAAAUUUUCAAAAUAGAGAUAGUACUCGUAUUUAGGAUUUCUCAAGAAAAUUGAGCCCUAACGUAUUGGGUUCCGAUUUUUUUGAAAAUCUAAUGAUCGAUGAUUGCUCUUUAAACCAACUAAAAUAAGAACUCAUUAUUGGGAAUUCAACACGUUGUGUCCUAACGUAUUAGAUGUGACGCAUUGAUUUCUCGAAAUGAAUAUUUUUUUUAAAAAAAUAAUAAAGGAAAUAUUCUGAGUUUAGGAUUUUAGAGGAAUCGUGCCCUAACGUAUUGGGUGUGAUUUCUUAAAUCUUGAAUAAGUGGAUGUUCUUUUAAAGUAAAGGAAAUAUUCCAAGUUUGGGAUUUUAGAGGAAUCGUGCUCUAACGUAUUAGGUGUGAUUUCUUAAAUCUUGGAUAAGUGGAUGUUCUUUUAAAGUUUUAUUGCACUAGUAUUUUGGCCCAAUUCAUUUUGGAGGAAAUUAGAAUGUUGUGCCCUAACGUAUUGGGUGUAGCAUUUUUGCUUCUAUAAAUUGAGAAGGGUCUUAAUACGCAACGCUUUAAGUUUUUUUUUAAGAUUAUAUUUUUAAAAAUUUUCGACCGUAAGACACUAAUUAAUCAACUUGGUACCAAAUUUUGGGCGUUACGAGGGUGCUAAUCCUUCCUUGUACGUAACUGACUCCCGAACCUGUUUUUCUAAAACUCGUAGAUCAAAAUCAUUUUAGAUGAUCCAAUCACACCAUAAUAAAAUAUUGGUGGCGACUCUCAAUUUUCAUUUUUUAAAGUCAACAACCUAAAAAUUUUUUGUUUUCGAAAAAUGGUUUGGACACUUAUGAUCUUUUCGAUGUUAAAUUUAAGAAAUAAAUAGAUUUGAUGGUUCAUCUUUUUAAUUAUCCUAUAAAUUCACUCGAAUUUUUUUCUAUUUAAUGCAAUAUCCAAUUAAAAAUAAUAUUCACUCGAGCAAAAAGAUUUCUGUAAUAGGCCAAUUUUGGCCUGGCUAUAUAUAUAAUAGCCUAUUACUAAACCCAGUUUUAAACCCAUUAACACCCUGACCCAAUAACCAAAUUACAAGCCCAAUAUCCAAACAGCCCAAAUACCUAACCCACUAGCCUAAAACACAAAAAAAUGAACAGCAGAAACCUUUGGCAAUUAGCAGCGGAUCGGCGUCACCCUCGCCCCCACGUUGCAGCAACCGUCUUCACGCACGAAUGCAUAGCAACUGCCCACGUCGUCUCACCCACGUCUGGUAGCUUCGCACGAUGCCCGUAACUACAACAAGCCAUGAACCACGAAUAGAAAUAAUAGCAGAAAUUACGACAAAAGGAGGAGAGUUUUUUCGAUAGUUUCUUUCUCCGUUGUUUCGGCUAUAUAAAGCCAAAUCAAAUCUGUAAAAGGGUUACACAUAUAUUGAAAAAUACUGAAAUACGAAAGAAAAGAAUCAGAAAAAACAAAUUUUUGAAGGUGAUUUGUUCUUUCCAAGUUUUUUACAGUUUUUAUUUUUUUUGUCUCAUAUUUCUUUUGUAUUUUACUUCAUUUUUUUGAAAAAAAAAACGAAAAGUAAAAGAAAGGGAGGAGAUUCUUACCAGCAGAGGCGCGCCGUCGGCAUCGUUUGCUUCGUUUUGUCCAAAUCGAAGUUAAAGGGGAGGGGGUUUUGGCGUGAAGAGUUGGGAAGGAGAUGAAACAGUUUUUGUCGCUGUUGCUGCUGCAGAAUAGCGUUUAAAUUUGAGAUUGAAAAGGGUUUUAAGCACUGAUGGGAUAUUUACGUUUUUAAUCCUUCCAUUUUAUCCCAUCAUUUCAAAA